GUGACCGGCCGGCUCUCUACGCGGCCUCGGACCUCUGCCGCCCUCCUGUUGCAGAUGUGUUUCUGGCUCUCUGCCUUCUUUGGUGCUUGCGCCCCUCAACGCGCACAGUCUGGAGUGUCAGACCCCGAAGCUUGGUCCCCAGAGGUCCCCCUUUGGGUUCGAUUCCUUUGGGAAAGGCUUUAUCUCAACGCAGAACUAAGCCCCGGUCCUUUGCAAAGAACUGAGUUGGAGCGGGGCAGGGUUGCAGUUCCCCUGUGCCUGGUCCAGCCUGCACCAGUGUUUCGGGGAGAAUGGGCGAGACAUUAUGCGAUGCUGUGCUAGACUGGAUAGGCAAGAGAAAUACCUUCUGUGAAAAGGUAGUUGUUUACUUUUAACUGCCGAACUCUGGCAAUCAGAAGCACCUAGAAGUAGCUUGAUCUAGGUAACCUAAGUGUGAUAAAGUAAGGCGGAAUAUAGAAGCAGCUGGAGCCAGGCUUCGCUUUACUCAAAAGCAGCCCCAUUUACAUCUUGUAUUAUGUAUCGAUAUUGUCUGCAGUAUUUUUGGUGCAUGAAAGCAUACUUCAGACACUCGUGCUUAAAAAAAGCAUUAAGCAAAAACAAAUCUAAAUCUAGAUUAGCAUGACUAGGCAAGUCUUUGCAUAUGUAUAUCAGUCUUUUAGUCUUGGUAGGCAUUCCUUAUUAUAUAAUGGUUAUCCUGCACCAGAAAUAGAGCCUUCCUCUCAGAAUGUUUGGAAUCUAUAAAGCCAGCAGUGGAAUUUUAUAUUAUAAUUCAUCCAAUUUCAAAAAUAGCUAGAUAUUUGAAAAGUAACCUUUACUUUUGUUCUUAUGACAACCUUUAUGACAGUAAAAUAAAAUUGUAGAUACAUUUACUUGUUAUAGUGACAAACAUUACUACCUUUUAGUGGAGCACUGUGACCCAGGACCUGUAUUAAACUCAACUUGCAUACAUUUAACUUGGGCCUUACCUAUAAGAGGCAAGUUCCCUCUUUCCCUAAGUUUCAUCCCUAGGCCCUCCUUUUUUCUUUUGAGACAGACUCUCAGUAAAUGCCAGGCCAGCCUCAAAUUUGCAAUCCUCUUGCCUUGGCCUCCCAAGUAGGUGGAUUUACAGGCAUGCGCCUCUUUGCUGGACUACAGGCUCCAAUUUAACCCCCGUCAAUCCUUUGAAGCAAGCACUGAGCUACCGCCUCAACCUCACAGCUGACUGUAGGUGGAGUAGGAGACUAAGGAAGGAGUGGCCUUUCCCACCCAAGAACUACAGGAGCAAAUUCUUGGGUCAAGCUCCAGAUGUCUGAGGUCUAACAGACGAAGCAAAGAGACAUCUUUCUUGAUCAGAGUAUGUUGGACCAUCAGUGGAGCACACUGGACCAUCAGUGGAAAGCUGUGAGCUUGUCAUGGUCAAGAUUUGUGGCUCAUUGGUUUUGGUACUUAUAGGUGCUGUGGGAACUGCUCUGAAAUAGAAGAAAUGGUGGGAAACAGGAAGGUAGGCUGUGCGGGUGGAGAGGAGAUGAAGGGUAGGAGGGAGGGGGAGAGCAGUGGCGGGACGAUGAUGCUCAUGCGGUACAUACGGGCACAGGCAGAUAUAAUUAUUACACAUCGCAAACACACACUAAUGAAACAUGUAUAAAACAGGACUCUAAGUCCUCUGUUAGUCUGUCAGUGUGUUCUCUGCAGCUGUCAUUUGUGACUUGAUCCCUGGAGCCACAGCCAAUCUCUUCUCAUCCAGAGGACGUUUCAAGCAACAGAGGAGACAUCAAUGGACUCUUUGGCAGAGGACACCCCAGGCUCACUGGGCCCGAGGGACGGGUAGAUCAGGACGGGUGAUGCUUGGUGCACACAGGACUUUGAUGGUUUCGGGGAGUGACUGGUCCCAGAGCAGCCGGGGCGGGGCUAGUGGCACCUGGCUCGGUCUCUCGCUGUGGGUGUUGCCCAUCACAGAAGCAGCCAGCCCACUGGGAGGGAGCCCUGGGAGAGCAGCGGAAGUCGGAAGUCGGAAGUCGGGGCUGCUGGCUUCCUACCUGGGAUAUGAACAAGAGUCCUCACGGUCUGUCACGGAACCUAAUGGAAUAGCUCACGCUUCUGCAGCCUCCUUUCCAGCUUUGGAAGUUGACUUUGCUGUUGUUGCUGCCGUUGUUGUGUCUGUGCUGUGUCUAUUGCUAAUUUGGGGGUGAAAAGGAAUUGAUUGGAGUAUGUUAAGUCAUAAUCAGAGAAAAUAUCUACAGGCUGUUUUCCACCAAGCUUCCAGAAUAUUGUAACACAAACGCACGUCAUUUUCAAUCUCUCCACACGAAGAGCACCCUGUUCACUGAUGGUGGCCUUGGCCAUGCCGACCUUAUCUCUGGGACCCCUUUGCUACCUGGCGAUGGUUCUUAGACCCGACGUCCUCCCGCCACAGGAAGCUGCUUACGAAGCUCUUUGCCCGGAGUGUAUCGCCCACCCCCUCAAUCUGGACAGAUAUGUUUACUUGUGUAUCAUGUUUCACCCAAUAGAAUAUCAACUCCCUUACAGCAGGGCUGCAUCUCCUGGCUGUGGUGCUGGUGAAGAGGGUGACCAGGUGACAAGUAGCUGCAGGAACUUCAGUGCAGCACCGAGUGCAAUCGCUCUGCCACAUUACCCAGUGAAACAUAUUAUAUUUUUCUUUUCUGAAAAGCGUCAGAGUUAACAACACAGUGAGGGAUUAAGUGGACUGAAAUCUAGCAGGAAGUGGGAGCUCAGAUGGGCGAAUAUACCACUUGGUCACUUUCGUUGCUGAUUUAGAGGAGGCAGGUGUGAAGCCAAGGGAGGGGUGAUCUCUGGAUGCAGAGCAGGUGAAGGAUGUGUGUCCUCAUAAAUAACACCCUGCCUCUACUUCUUGCCUGGAAAUGUAGCAUAAAGAUGAAGAGAGGUAAAUUAAUUAGUUCUUGUCUGGUCUACACCUUUCCAACCACAUGAACAUCUAGAAAAUCCCAAGCAAGGAGAUCUGACUGAGAGUGCCUCCAGAUUUCUUAAAGGAAACAAAUGAAAAUGACAUCUGUGAGAUUAUAACACUACCAUGGCUCUUAAUUUAUCCUACAGUGAUUGUAGAACUCACAUUAGGUUUUAUAGGUUAAAGAUUCACUGGGAAAUCUAAGUGCAUGUAUAUCAUUCCAACAAAUAAGGAAAAUAGGACAAAAACAGGACAAAACAAGUCCAGGUUGGGUGGUACAUGCCUUUAAUCACAGCUGCUUGAGAGGCGGAGGCAGAAGGAUGACAAGUUUGAAGAGAGCCCGGGCUGUUUAGUAAAAUCCGGUCAAAGUAAAGUAAAAUUUAAAGCUGGGCGUAGUGGCUCAUGCCUGUAAUUCCAGCACUUGGGAGGACCAGGCAGGGGGAUUGCCAAGAAUUCAAGGUUGACCUGGGCUACAUAGUGAGUUCAGGGCCAGCCUGAACUAAAAUUGCCUCAAAAAAAAAAAAAAAAAAAAAAAAGAAGAUAAAACAAAACCAAGCAAUCACUUUAAAGAAGGCAAGGGAGGAGAGCAACAAAAGGGACUAUAUACAGCCAACAGACAAUUACUGAGAAAACUAUAUGUAUGACUAUAUAUGUGUGUGUGUAUGUAAUUUUUAAACAUGGUAAAGGAUAGAGAUCAUAUAAGAUACAGAAAGAGAGAAAUCAUUUUAAAACUAGAGAAGCUACAUGAGCAGAAGAUAAAAAACAGAAUUUCAGAAGAAAGCAUUAGUAGAAUGAAAGGACUUUAUUUCAUGAUGAUAGAAGAAGGUUCAACUUAUCAGGAAGAUAUAGCAGUCCUACGUUUGCUUUCACUUAAUUUUUUUUUUUUUUUUACUGGGGAUUGAACUUGGGUCCUUGUGCUUGCAAGGCAGGCCACCGAGCCGCUGAGCUGAAUCCCCGGCCCUGCUUUCACUUAAUUUGAUGAUGUCAAUAUAGAGGGCAAAACGAGGGAGAGAUACAAGGAGAAACAAAUUCACUGUCGCAGGGAAGAUUUCAGUAUACCCUCUCACUCUCUGGUAAGCAUGAUGACAAAAAAAGAAAUGUGAAAAUGAUUUGAAAAAUUAGCACAUUUGACCAAAUAAACACAUUUAGAAUAAGUACAUC